rnacentral:lncRNA from 1 species
GAUCUCAGAGAGAGAGGUGGAGUCAUAGCUUCGAAUAAAGCAAAGAGAUUUGGCUGAGGGGAGAUCAAAAGGGGAACUGAGAAUUGCAAGUAUUUAUUUUUUCAUACUCAAGAAAAGAAAAGACUAUUCUUGGCCACAUUCCCAAGUUAUGAACAAGUAACUACUGUUAAUUCAAGAUAACUUCCUAUCAGGACUCAUGCUCUGAAAACCAGCCAAACAGCUAGCGCCUCACUCUCGUGGACUUGCUUCUGGAAAUCAGCCGGUCAACAGCCUCAUUCUAAGCAUCUGAGAGUGAGCACAUUAACAGCCCCGAGCUUCUGAAAGCCAAUCAGUGACAAACCCCCAAUCCUGCCAGUCAGCCGUCUAUGACAGCCGGUGCUUCUAGACAACAGCCAAUCAGAAAGUGCCCCACCCCAGGAGUCAAGAGAGCCCUCCUCCAGUGACCACGCUAAUACAGCUGAAAAUCCUUCAAUCUCUACACGCUCCUGCUUCUGAAAAUCCCCCAAUCCCGGAAUGUCAAGCUUCUCAAAACCUUAUGUAAGGUCAAUUCUGGUUUUGCUCAAGGAAACGGUGUCUUAUAGUAUAGAUCUCCCUUGCAGGCACACAGGAAGUUUACCUUUUUCAUACCGAUACUGCGUUCACUUUGUUAGUUGACAAGAUGGCAACCCUGCAGCCCCUCUUUACAGCUCUUUGUGAGUUCCGAUUUGUGAGUGGCUGAUGGCACUGACAUGUCCAUAAGAUGAUCAAAUUCAUCUUUACAAAUUUUGCAGUGAUUGUUAACAGCAAAUUGCUAAUUUCUUAUUUGUGUAUAUUUGAAAUUCCAAAUGCCAAAAGACAAGAGUAAGUUUUGUGAUGAACUUCUCAACAGUGGACACAUUAAAUGAGGAAGAAAAAGUCCUUUUGAAGCUCCUUGUGUAAUAUGCAAUUGUCCAUUCAAUAUAAAAACUGUCAGACAUACCAGCAGAUACUACAGCUGAGCAUAAGAGGUAUGAUUUCCUCCACUAGCACCAAAGAAAAAGAUUAUUUUUUUUUUUAUUUACAGAAAUUCAGAUGAAGAUAAAAUAAACACAGCAGAAGGUGUAGCGGCCUUCCACAGUCUGUCUUUCAGCUUGAAUAACUGUUUAAAUGUCCUGCUACCAGAAGUAUCUUCUGAUUUGAAAACUGCAAGCAAAUAUUCAGUGCCAGGACAAAAUCUACAGCAAUAAUAAAAAGUGUAAUAGCUGCAUUUACUACUACAGAUUAUCAAAGAUCUAAAUGCCUCCUGAUCUUUUUGCAGCAUAGCCACAGAUGCAAAUAAUCACAAUCAGAAAAAAUGUUCCUUUUGCUUGUGCAGUAUUUUUUUUCUGAAAAAGUCUUGCUUAGGAAGGCAUUGUGAGUCAAAUCUCUUCUGGGUAAGACUAUAGAAAUAUUAGCAAAUUUUAGCAAGGACUCUCUUAUCAGCUAGGAGUUAAUGAGAUCAAUUGUAUUGCUUUUAAUGUGGACCAUGC